rnacentral:rRNA from 1 species
CUACGGGGUGCACCAGUGAGGAAUAUUGCACAAUGGGGGGAACCCUGAUGCAGCAACGCCGCGUGGAGGAUGACGCAUUUCGGUGUGUAAACUCCUUUUAUAUGUCAAGAAAAUGACGGUAGCAUAUGAAUAAGCACCGGCUAACUCCGUGCCAGCAGCCGCGGUAAUACGGAGGGUGCAAGCGUUACUCGGAAUCACUGGCGUAAAGGACGCGUAGGCGGGUUGGAAAGUCAGGUGUGAAAUCCUACAGCUUAACUGUAGAACUGCACUUGAAACUUCUAAUCUAGAGUAUGGGAGGGGGAGAUGGAACUAGUGGUGUAGGGGUAAAAUCCGUAGAUAUCACUAGGAAUACCUAAAGCGAAGGCGAUCUCCUGGAACAUUACUGACGCUAAGGCGUGAAAGCGUGGGGAGCAAACAGGAUUAGAUACCCGGUAGUC